rnacentral:tmRNA from 21 species
GGGGGCGAAACGGCUUCGACGGGGAUGUAUAAGCUCUACGUUGCAUGUCGAGCAACUGCCAGCUCGUAAAAAAGGCGGAAACUAAUAUAAUCGCAGACGAUUAUAACUACGCAGUAGCAGCUUAAUAACUGUCAUACUGCCGUCUCUCCAGUCCUCCGCUCAUGAGGGUUGGGUCCGAGGCGUCGACCAAAAUGAGCUAGCAAUCGGGUGGUGUUCUGGUCGCCCCGGCGCGAAAAUAUACAGAAUAGCGUUAUAGUAUCCCUGUUCCGACGGAAGCUAAAUCGCGAAAACUAAGUGGGAACUAAACAUGUAGAUACGAGAGGGGAGCAUUUGCGGACGCGGGUUCGACUCCCGCCGCCUCCACCA